AUGAAACGAGCUUCCAGUGGACGACCCAGAUCCACCGAACCCACGUAUAAAUACAUCGCCCCGGCCUCCCCUCGCGACGCCCCCCUCUUCCCUCCAGCCCUAGCCCUCUCUCCCCCCGCGCCGCCGCCAUCUCGCCCUCUCUCCCCUCCGCGCCGCCGCAGGAGCCCCGCGUCGUCGCCAAGAUGGUGCUGCAGAACGACAUCGACCUGCUGAACCCGCCGGCGGAGCUGGAGAAGCGCAAGCACAAGAAGAAGCGGCUCGUCCAGUCCCCCAACUCCUUCUUCAUGGAUGUGAAGUGCCAGGGCUGCUUCAGCAUAACAACUGUAUUCAGCCACUCCCAGACCGUGGUGGUGUGCCCAGGUUGUCAGACCGUUCUCUGCCAGCCUACUGGUGGGAAGGCCAGGCUCACUGAGGGCUGCUCCUUCCGCCGGAAGAGUGACUAGGGUAUGGCUUGUUACUGGGACAAAAAUACCCUGCUGAACAAUACUAUCCUGUUACCUUUCCCGAUGUGUACUGGAUAAAUUUUGUUAAUUAUGCAUGAUGUAGCAAUGUGUUAUGUAUCUUGCACUAUAUGCCAGAGAAAGCUAUUUAGUGUAAUGCAUGUCCUUCCGCCUUGUUCAGUUCUCUCAGUAUCUGAAUGUCGAUUAUUGUUUUCUGUCGGAA